rnacentral:lncRNA from 1 species
ACAUUAAAAAGGAAGCCUUUUGGAGAAACAGUGUUGACCGGAAGUGCGCAGUGACGCAGAGGCUGGACUUCCGGCCAGUGGGGGCCGUUGCCCUCGGGUCUCCGUCCGGGGCGCCCUUUCCUUCUGCCCAGUGGCUUGGCGCGUCCGGGUCACAUCUGUGCUCUCGCAGAGCGGACCUCUGGGCCUCUUCUGCCCGCGACCCGAGCCCCGAUGGGGCCCUGGCCUGGGGUCUCCAGCCGCCUUCCCAGGGUCUGUCCCGGGCUUCUCCAGCGCCCACCGUGCCGCGAUCUUAUGUUGCCACAGCGACGGCUUCAUUUCUCUUUGCCUCUUUCAAGCAACCAUACCGCCAGGUCUCCCCCCCCGAGUCUGCUGCUUGUAGGGCCAGGUCCCGGGCUCCGAGCGGACUCUCGCCCCGUCCCAGCCUCCUCUUCCUGCCCGGGUUUCCCAGAGAGGGCUUCCGGCUCAUCUGUGACUUGCUUGCCGUGCAGCUGCCAGGCUGCAGCUCCAGGGCCUCAGGGGCGAAGUGCAUACAGAAAGGAGGCGCCGGCCUGGAUGGGAAGACUGAAUCUGUCGGCCCAGAAGAGUGUGAAGAAUCACAGCCCUCCUUCAGGACUCUUGUUUCCAGAUCUCGGGGUGGCGGAUGAGGGCUCUCCACGUCCUUCCUCAGCAAGUGGACAGUAAAGGUACCAAGGAGUCCUGGGACCUUCGAGGGGUGGCGUGAUGAAAGCAGAAGCGCGUUGGGGCUGUGGCCUCUCGUCUGCAGGGACUGCCGUGGGAUCCGGCGGCCAUGACAUGAGAAGAUACCCUGGAAGCUUCAGCAGCCCACUCUGGCCCGGCGGCCACCGUAUGCGGGCGGCUCCCACCCUCUUCUCCGUCCUCUGAACUUGUAGCUACACAGCAGCGUCUCCCCAGCGUCUCCCAAGCGUCUCCGCUCCCAAGUCUUACGGCUCAAGUUCGGCACAAGCAGACCUGCUGAACCUGCCUCAGCCUUGGUAAAUGGGACCCCAGGCACCAUGACUCCAGCUGGAGACGGAGCCACUGCGGUGCCCCCUGCCCCGGGCACCCCAUGCCCUUUCAUCAGUUCUCUUGGUCCCGUCUUUAAGUAUUUUUCAGACUUGUCCACUUCUUUACUACGGGCUGUAGGCUAGUCUGACUGCCCCAACCCUCUGCUGAACUUAGCUGCCGCUUACUGCCCUUGGUUCCAAUGUACAGCCCUCCCGAGCCUGCCGCCCACAGCCUGCCUCACCUUCGCAGAAACGCUCGGGAUGGUGUAACUGCCCGUGCAGAGCCCUGGCUGGCGUCCAUCCUGCACCAGGACCCCGAUGUGCACUCCCUGCGGCAGCCGGGUCCAGGGUCCUCCUCAAAGCCCUCCCUCCUGCUGUGCUUAGCAGGGAGGGGCCGGCCCUGGGACCCUUCUGGUCCUGUACUGGUCCCAAUUCCUCUGCUCCUGCAGCCCAGCUGCUGAACAGCUCCCAGGAGUCGAGACUGUGGGUCCCUCCCAGCAGCUGGUGGAGAACAGCUCAGCCCAGACUCAGCCGUUUUCAAACAGAUUCCCAUUUUCAGACCAGGACAGUAAGGCCACAGGAGGCCCACCUUGGUUUUCAGAAAGGUUGCUCAUCAACUAUGCUGUUGCUUUCUCUUACAACUUGGGAUUCUAUCAGUUUCCAAACUGUGCAUACAAAUAAAUUCAUAAUAGUAGCAAUAAUCAAAAUUUUACCCCCUCCCCUACCUGAUUUUUUUUUUUUUUUUUGAGACAGUGUCUUACUAUGUAUUUCAGGCUGGCCUGAGAGUGAUCCUCCUGCCUUGGCCUCCUGCAUGCUGGGAUUGCAGGCAUGUGCUGCCAGGCCUGGAUUCCCCAUCCGUUUAUGGAGUUUUGACUCUUAUGCAGAGUUCCCUUUGGUACUGCUGGAUUCCCCUGAG